rnacentral:tRNA from 1 species
UCCCUUGUGGCUCAGCUGGUAAAGAACCUGCCUGUAAUGCGGGAGACCCGGGUACGAUUCCUGGGUUGGGAA